rnacentral:lncRNA from 1 species
AAUAUAACCAGAAUUUGGAGGAAAACUAAAGCAGGAAUGGGGAAGGAGAUCUUAGUCUGCGAUGUGGAUUUGGAACUCUGCAAGCAUAUUCACAUGAAGGUGAAGAAGAGAAUUAACAUCCCAUUUUCAGCUACCGGUGCCAUGACGCUACUCCUGACAUUGCUGCUGGUGCUAUAA